GGCAGCCGUACCGCAGAUGAGCCCGCGCCCGCGCCGCUCAGAUCUCCCAGCUGGACGUUCAAAAUAGCUUUUGAUGUCUUAGGGCGUCUUUUAUUCAACCCUAGGAGGCCGAGGGAAGAAAAGGAUAAUUUAAAUGAAAUUUAGUUUCUAUAAAGAAAACGAUUAAAAACAAGGAAAUGAGCUUUGACUAUUAGGCACCUGGAUGAAGAGCCCUGGGUUCAGAUUGUCAGUCUCCUGUAACCAGCAGAAGCCCUCCAGUUGCACUAGGAACAUUCAAUUGAA
rnacentral:sRNA from 1 species